UCUCCGUAGGUGAACCUGCGGAGGGAUCAUUACCGAGUGAGCGCUCCGGCGCGACCUCCAACCCCAUGUUUUCCGACUCCGUUGCCUCGGGGGCGACCCGGUCCUCUGGGUCCGGGGCCCCCGGAGCCCAUCAAACCCUGCGUAACUAAGUCGUCGGAGUUUAAACAAAUUAAACAAAACUUUCAACAACGGAUCUCUUGGUUCGGGCAUCGAUGAAGAACGCAGC
rnacentral:misc_RNA from 1 species